rnacentral:lncRNA from 1 species
UAAAGAUCUAAUUUUUACCAAUUUAAAUCAGGCACUGGUAACCUAUUUCAGCAAUUUUUUUUUCCUAGAAUACUCUCCAUCCCCCACUUAGAGAAAAUUAACAUAAUUGCACAUUUUCUUUGUCUUUUCUUUCUCUUUUUGUAAACAGCAAGCCAGGCUGUUAACCCUUCAGGACCCGAGAACAUAGGUCAGCUUCAUCACAAGAGCCCCGAGGCAGUGGUUAGGAAUCAGAACGUGCUUUAUCCCAGCCACUGAAUGCAAAGGGUUGCCUUCUGCUGGAAGCUACAAGGGCUGUGGUGGUGGUGGCAGUGGUAGCAGUGUGGAAGGGAGAGGUUUUCCUCACCCUACCUUAAUAUAGCUUCACUAUAUCUUCUUACUGGGAGCAAGGACUAAACCUCAGUUAUGAAAAGUAAAAAAGAAAAUAAAAGAAAAGAAGAGCAUGAGACAAGACCUUCGUCACCAUUUCUUUUUGAAGCAAGAGACACGUUCUCUAGUUCGCCAGUCAAUGCCUGGAUACACUGUAUGGAGAGCAGUAUUUCAGGGCUGAAUCCUUUUCCCGACCACAUUACCCACUUUGCUUUGGAUCUUCUGGAGAUAACUAUACCAAACUCUCGUCAGUUCCUACAAGAACUGGUUGCCACUCUCAACCUAAUAACACAUCUAGCUCUAGAUAAGUUGUUCACUGAAAAAAGGCAUGUGUUUUUUUGCUGUAGCUCUGGGCAAAAUCUUUAAGUGGUUACACUUUAUGUGUUAGAUUGCUGGCCAAGCAUUUGAAUUAUGCUACGUAAUGCAACAGGCCAUUUCAGCUGGGGUCCAGACAUUCCUAAUAUAAACACAACCACCGACACCUGGAAAAUAUUUGCUCUCAUUGAUGUGCCUGGGGGCCAUAGUUCAGUAACUGGGUUUGGGGCAGGCAAGAGGGAUGAUGAAGAUGAAAACAUACACUGAGCCUCUUCAGGACAGGUUUUGAACCCCAAGAACUACAGAAAAUUUUUUUCAUGAAGAAGCAGCCCUGAUUUGGAACCUAGACAUCAAAGAGGAGCACAGAAUUGAGGAGGCCCAUUUUCUCCACCUCUGCAUGGAAUCCAGCAUUGUUCCAGCACAUAAGAUUGAAGACUUCAGGAACAUUGAAAGAUAGCAUUCUCGGUAUAUUCUUGUUCAAGUGUUUCACAGACUUCCUCAGCAGAGACAGUGAUAAAAAUUUCAUCCAGCUGCUUGCUGGCAAUAAAUGUUGACAAAUGAUAACUGGAACUUUCCAGGAAAAAUACUAUGAAUCCCCCAAGAGGGCCAGGACUGAGAUAUCUGUAAGACUCUGCCAAAUCCCCUCACACAGUAAGCACUCAGUACAUAUUAACUGCAUGAAUGAAUUAAUUAAUGGUACCAUAUAGUGAUGAAAACUGAAUGAUUUGUGAGUAUGGGGAAGGCACUUGUUUGGGGAAUCCUAGAAAUAACCAGGAUCAUUUUGGAACAACAGAGCUCCUGUUUAAAAAGGAUAGAAUUUGGAUCCUUUGUAAUUUAUGAAUAGCUAUAGUAUGAUCUCCAGGCUGGUAAAGACAGGUGAAAAUUGGGUUAGGAUUAUUUUCUGAACCACAACUGCUGAAAUAACUUUUAUUAAACAGAUGAUUAUAGGCUUCCCCCCACCAGGAAUAAUAUCAUUUCUAAAAUUGGGCAGUAUCCAUGAUGGUAGUCCUGAUUAGAUUUUUUCAUAGGCAGUAGGAUCUGUGACUCCAAACUGAAAUUACCCUGCUUUCAGAAAUGUAAAUAUGCUUAAGCGACAGUUCUGUGGACACAAUAUAGCGUGCUUCAUGUUUUUGUCCUCCCUCUGGAUUAGUUGACACCGAAGUCAAAUUCAGGACAACUUGUGAGUAUGAGGGCUUAGAUAUAAAGUCUUGGAUGAGUCACAGCAUCUGUUAAACCCUAACAAGCUCCCUUCUAAUUCUCAGACCUGAUUUAUCACAGAACUUGCUGUUUGCAUUUUGAGAUUUAUUUCCAGACCAGGUCUCUGAUAAGGAGGAGAAGGAAGGAAAGAAAGGUAAAUCUGUUUGGCUUUUAAGGUUAGGCAGUCAAUUUGCCAGCUGAGCUUAAAUAACCUUUAACUUCUCCUAAUUAGAAAUUUUCAGAGAACCUGGCUCUCCCCAGGAUGCCAAUUUGCUAGAGAAUCUGCUUACACCUUCCUUGUGAGAAGUCAAUUUGAAGCCUUAACCACCAAAAACAACAAAAUUUUCAUCUCCAUGAAAUAAGUUAUCCUCCAUUGUUUGCCAGACUCAUUGUGAGGUUGAAGUUUUCAAUUUGACUUAAUUUUAAACUCAUUCAUCUUAAUUAAUGGACACCUUUUUCAAACACAUCUGUUCUCCUACAAAUAGGUCAAACUUCCAUAUGCCCAUAAGGAAAGACAGUCACAGAGAUGUUUUUUUUUCUCUCACCAGUGUCAGAAGGUGACUCUUUUAACGCUAAUUUCCAGAUAAAUGUUUUAAAAAUAUUUAAACUUUGCUACUCUCUUAGUAUCUGGUAAUGACCGUUAUAUUGAAUUCAAGUUAACAUUCCAUUGAAUAUUGGUUGUAAUAAACUAAUUAUGUAUCUUCUAACAAUAAAAUGGAAAGCAAAGGGACAUUUCAGCUAGUAUUAAAAAACUUGAGAGUCUGGAGGUUAAGAUGGCGGAGGAGUAGGGGACACCUUUUUCAGCCGGUCCCCUGAGUUGAGCUGGAUAGGUACCAGACCAGCAGGAAUAUCCACGGAAUCAGCCUGAGACGCAGGAAGAUACAUCUGGAUCUCUACAAAUGAACAUCUCCAGCGCUGAGUAUCGAGGUACGAAGCGGGGAGCCGUGAAACCGCGCACAGAUAUCGGAAGCUAAACAGAAGGGGGAGGGAGCCGCCGUGUCAGGGCGCCGGGAAGCGGUAGCCACCUGCAAGGGGGAGUGGACAGACCGCGGACCCGCACGCUUGAGACAGCAGGCUGAGAAGGGAGCUCCGGGAGCGUACGCGAGAAGGCUGGCGGUUGGCGGGCCACCUGCACGGGGGAGCAGGCAGACUCGCGGACGGCACCCGCGAGACAACAGACUUAGAACGCGAACUCCAGGAGCGCGCGCAGGGCGGCUGGCGGGCCACCUGCACCGGGGAGCGGGCGGACCGCGGACCCGCACUCUGGAAACGGCAGACUGAGUCCGUGAGCCGGGAGCGUGCACCACCAAGCAUCUCACGGAGCUCCGGAGCUCCGGUGUGCUCACUGGAUCGAGGCUGAGACCGGGAGCUCCGGGAGCGUCCGCGGGGCGGCUGGCGGCUGGAGGGCCACCUGCACGGGGGAGCAGGCGGACUCGCGGUCAGCACCCGUGAGACACCAGACUGAGACGGGGAGCUCCGGGAGCCCGCGCGGGGCGGCUGGCGGCGGGCGGGGUUGGAAACACAAAGGACAGAGACGUGCCGGCCCUGGAAGUGAGGGCUGGGACGCCGGGUGUGGGGCGCACAGCCCGGGAUGCUGCAGGGUUGAGCAGCACCAACAGAAACAGAGUUAAAGUGGCCAGAACAUCAGUGGAGAACGAUCCGCGAUCCCUCUGUUCUGAGACAGAGGCUGAAUUUCAGCCGCUGCUGCUCUCUCAGAAGAGGCAUAGCAAACCGCCAGGGAAAGCCGCCAGAGAACAAAAGCCCGGAAAUACCGGCUCACAGGGUGCCCAUCCCCAUCCCCCCUCGCAAGGGACACAGAGACUCUACCCAAACAGGGUUUUCUGAGUACCUGCAGGCAGGCCCCUCCCCCAGAAGGCAGGCUGAAAAAUCAAGAAGCCCACAACCCGGAGCGCCUGAGUGGCGCAGUCACCAAGCACCUGUCUUCGGAUUAGGGUGUGAUCACAACGCUCCGUAAGGAGUCCUUCAUCGGGCUUCUCCACCGGGAACCUGCUUCUUCCUCUCCCACUCCUCUGCUUGGGUUCCCUUUCUUGCUGACUGUCUCUCUCUCUCUCAAAUAAAUAAAUAAACUCUUUAAGGAAGAAGCCCACAUCCCUAAGAUCUCUAUAAAACAAGGGCGCACGGCCUGGGUCCCAGUCAACACUUGGGCUCUGGACAACCCUGCAAUCUCUCUUCAUCAGAAUGACGAGAAGGAGAAGUCCCCCCCAGCAAAGAAAAGAUAAUGAGUCUGUGGCCUCUGCCACAGAAUUGGCCUCGGCCACAGAAUUAAUACAUAUGGAUGUAUCCCAAUUAUCAGAAAUGGAAUUCAGAGCAACAAUGGUCAAGAUGAUGAGUAAACUUGAAAAAAGCAUCAGAGAAAGCGUUGCUGAGAAUAUAGAAUCCCUAAG